UGAAGCGCACGAUGGGCGGAAGCUAGGAAGACAAACAUAAAGAUGAAGUGCUUAAUUCAAGGUCACACAAUGUCGGGGAUGGACCUCCAGAUUUCCUUACUGACCUGCAUUAUCUUGUGGAUACCUGAGUGAAUUCCACACCACCCAUUUUAUAGAUGAAACCACUGAGACAUGGAGCAAUUGACUGAGUAGUCACUGCCCCACCCCUGCCUGGAGCCUCACACAUGACUCGCCUCCUCUCAGUGACCACAGGUGAGACGUGGUCUUGUAACACAGUGGUUAAGAAUGUGACUUUGGAGCCAGCCUGCUAGGGGCUGAAUUCUGACUCAGCCAUUUACUAACUGUGUGACCUUAGUUCCCUGAGCACAUGCUGUUGAGUAAUCCUGCCUGGACCAGUACUUCCCUCACCCUAGACUUCACCUUCAGUUCCCCUUUAUACCACCUGCUGAAGCUGCCAGCCAGCCUUUUCGACCACCCUCCCUCCCCCAGGGGUGUUUGGCUUCUCAGACCCCAGCCUGAGCUAGUGCCCUUGGCUUCCUAGGGUCUUGCCAGGAAAGCAAAGGAGAACAUGCAUACCGCCAAAGAGUACCUAAUAAUAAGAACUCCCAUCCUGAAUUGUGAUUUAUAGUC
rnacentral:lncRNA from 1 species